CCUGGAUUCCUCAUAUAAGUUUUCACUUCAUAAUAUAUAUGUGUUAACUCAGACAAGUUUGAGACAAAGUUCUCUGAUCUGUAUCGCUGAAAGUCUAACUUAUCCACACAUACCCUCCCCAAUGGUUAAGAAAUGAGACACUCUUUCUACCUGGAUCAUCUCUUUUCUUACAAAGACAUGCCUGUAUAAGACAUCCACAUGGAGUUUGUCUCUCUCCAAUCCCUCCAACACCUGCCUGUUCCACCCACCGUGCUCACCGUCACCUCCUGAAGAUCAGUGUCAGAUGUCUUGAGAGCUCAAAACAGCAGCUGGAUUUUCUGGGAUGCCAUUGUUUGCGGGGGUAAAGGUCAGGGGCAAAUCCAAGGCAGGCAGUGAGCCCAAAGCUACAUGAUACACGGCAAUGAACUUGGUCCCUGGGGUAAAAUCAGCUGGUGGAAGGACCUAGCCCACAGGACAGCACCACAGCUGUAACUUGGGGAGAACAGGGGUCUCUGGCCACACUGGCUUCACUACUCAAGAGUCUGUGGGACUAGGCGCUUCAGUGGUUCCAGCCAGCAACACCAGUCCAGACUCUACGACCCAGCAAACCUGUGAUCUGAUGAUAGAAAACAGAAGAAAAUACAAGGGGACGUAAAAAGCCAGAAGCGCUUAGGAAAAAUUCCCUCAUUGAAGAACCCAGAGGAGCGAAGAAGUGACCCCUUCCCAGCCCUCAGAAAAGUCCACUUGAAAUAUGGAUUUUCAAGUCAAAUCUUGUCAGUCAGCUCCUCUCCAGCUCGAACCCAGAAGGAACUGGCCAACUGGCCUCCUCAACUUUGACAUCGUUGCAGAAACACCUUCCUUUUCUUUGUGGGUGAAAUCGGAAGCUGGACUGUAUCUCAUUAUCCCUAAGGCAGCCCUUUCAAGAGUGAACUCUAUCAUACCCUGUCUCCAGAUAGUCCACAAAACAGUAAAUGAUCACUAACAUUAUCACUGGACCUGCCUUCCUCUCAGUAAACCACAUAACAACGUUGAACCUCUCUGCCUUCUUUUAACACCAACAAAAGAAAUGUAUUGAAUGAGCAGCAAGAUAUCCAUCUGAACAUGUGGAAUAGGUUCUCAUGAGCUCAGAGGUAUAUGGUGCAAUAAGAGAGCAGCACAGACUUUGCAGUGCUUUAUUUUUAAAGCACACACCACUGUAACGAUCAUGUAGCAUCAGUCAUUACAGUUGAGAACCUCACCUCUGAUGUGGUGCACGGGGAUAAAAACAACCCUACUACCCAAGUGUUUUUUUAAGAAGAUUGAUAUAAAUA
rnacentral:lncRNA from 1 species